GUGGGGAAUCUUGCGCAAUGGGCGAAAGCCUGACGCAGCCAUGCCGCGUGAAUGAUGAAGGUCUUAGGAUUGUAAAAUUCUUUCACCGGGGACGAUAAUGACGGUACCCGGAGAAGAAGCUCCGGCUAACUUCGUGCCAGCAGCCGCGGUAAUACGAAGGGGGCUAGCGUUGCUCGGAAUUACUGGGCGUAAAGGGCGCGUAGGCGGACAGCUUAGUCAGAGGUGAAAGCCCAGGGCUCAACCUUGGAAUUGCCGUUGAUACUGGCUGUCUUGAGUUUGGGAGAGGUGAGUGGAACUCCGAGUGUAGAGGUGAAAUUCGUAGAUAUUCGGAAGAACACCAGUGGCGAAGGCGACUCACUGGCCCAAUACUGACGCUGAGGCGCGAAAGCGUGGGGAGCAAACAGGAUUAGAAACCCCGGUAGUCC
rnacentral:rRNA from 1 species